rnacentral:rRNA from 1 species
CCUACGGGUGGCAGCAGUGGGGGAUAUUGCUCAAUGGGGGAAACCCUGAUGCAGCGACGCCGCGUGGGUGAAGAAGCGCCUCGGCGCGUAAAGCCCUGUCAGUAGGGAAGAAAAUGACGGUACCUGAAGAAGAAGCCCCGUCUAACUACGUGCCAGAAGCCGCGGUAAUACGUCGGGGGCAAGCGUUAUCCGGAUUUACUGGGUGUAAAGGGGGCGCAGACGGCGAUGCAAGCCAGGAGUGAAAGCCCGGGGCCCAACCCCGGGACGGCUGUUGGAACUGCGUGGCUAGAGUGCAGGAGGGGCAGGCGGAAUUCCUGGUGUAGCGGUGAAAUGCGUAGAGAUCAGGAGGAACACCGGUGGCGAAGGCGGCCUGCUGGACUGCAACUGACGUUGAGGCCCGAAAGCGUGGGGAGCAAACAGGAUUAGAUACCCGGGUAGUC